CUGUUCAAAAAGCUGUCAUUUUAGGCAUGCAAAUAGGCCAUAUUUGGGGGUAGCCUCUGUUUGACCUAAGAGAAUACAAAGUAAUAGAAACUGAGCAGUGGAGACUCUGACCAUUGAUCUGUAUUUUGUAGCAUAUCCCUAGACCUGAACCAAAAUAGAACACUGAGAAAUCAUUCCUAUGCAAUAAGUAGUUUUAUUUUAAAAGGAAAAUAACCGUGAUGUAUCAUGCUGCUUAACCUCUGUGUUUGAAGAUUUCUUAAUUCUUUCAAUAUUUAGAACCAUGUUGAAUAGACUAUUAAUAUGCUGUCAUAUAUUUUUCAAAGUAUGUCUGGAAAUUAAGUCUUUUGGUUAACUGUAAAAUUUUUUUAUUUAAAAUAGGAAUAGAUUAUAUUUGUAGGUAUUUAUCAAAUAUAAUUAUUUUGUGCUACAUAUGGGAUUUUGUAAUGAGUUCCAUUGUUAAGAUAUAUAAUUAACUUCUAACAAAUUAAUCAACUUAAAUUUUUAUGUUAAAGAUUAUAUUUAAUAAUAUUCACUUAAUGCCUAAAGUAAAAUCUUACUUUCACCAUAAUCAAAAUAUUGAAUUUUUUUGUGCACAAGGGCUGCAGGAAUGUAGGCCAUAUAUUGUUUUAUGCAUCAGUCAUGCUUUUUAUUGGUUAUAUAUUUUAUGUAAUAUAAAGACUGCCUUUUCCUUUAUAUUGCAUUUUUCCAUGAAAAUAAAGAAUUGCCUGCAGAAUGCAAAACUGCAAGCAUCCUGUCAAACGGUAGAUUUCUAUGCAUAUAUUCAUUUAAAAAGAGGCUGUGUGGCCUAGUGGAAAGACAGGGAUGAAGUUGGGUUCAAACCUGACCUCUGACACUUACUGGCUGUGGAAUCCUGGGCAGCCAGGCCACCUAAAUCUCAGGCUGUGAGUUCUACAACAGUUUGUAGCUGGGCAGUGGGAAAGGCAGUGCCUCCUACUGAUGAAAUCACAGUCUGGAUGCUCUCUCCAUUCCCUCCCUUCCCCCUUCUCUCCUCUCCCAAUCAAACUGAAAAAACAUGUUUUUGUUUUUUGUUAGGGCAAUGAAAAUAUUGUUUUUCUUAUGGCAUUUUAACUGAAGUGCCAUAAAUGCAAUCCAUACGUGGUUCAGAAUAAACAUUGAGUUAAUUCUAUCUGUAUCCAGUCUAAAAUCUCUGCUUUUGAAAUGUGAAUUUUUAAAACUUGUAAAUGUCUUGAGUUUGCAGUAAUGUUCAUCUACAUACAAUAUGUUACAAAACUCAAUUCAACGUUCGUAUUUAUGACAUACCAACAUAAAUUUUAAAGCCAUUUUCAUUUGUUAACAAAUUCAAAAAGAAACCUGAUAUAUGCUUAAUGGUUAUAAACAUAACAACAAUUUUUCAUGGAGAUAUUUGUCUGCAUGCUGGAAUAGUAAUAUUCAUAGGGCAAGUAACUAAGUAUCGAAAUUUUUCUCAAAAAAUAAUAGUACUUUUAAAUAUAUAUUAAUAAGAAAAUGAAAAUACACAUCUUAAAUAUGACAGUGUGACAAUAAAAACCAAUACUCAAGUUAAUCGAGCCAAGUUAAUAUAAACAAAUUUUAUUUGUUGAGCAGCUGUUAUAAAGAAUCAGACCAGUUUGUUUAACAGUACUGAACAAAAAGGCUGACACUUAUUUUUUCAUUUUCCAGCUCUGUACAUUGUUUAGACAAAGCCAAAAUUAAUACCUAAUCUGUAAAUCACCCAAAGGAAAUUUUCAUAGCUGUGCUAAAUGACACUGCAGAAGCAGACAAGCUAUAUUGUUUUAUAAAAUGUUUUUUUCAAAGAUGUUAUCUUCAAAGCAGUCUAUUCCUGACUUUGUAAUAUUCUCUUUAAAUACAAUGUGUUACUCCUGCAGACAACCAGUAGUACUGUGUCAUAACAUGAUACUGCAAGAAUGAACUGGACUGCAAUAAUUCUUACUUUUAAAAGCCAAUACUUUGAUGCGGUAACGUGUGAUUUGCAAAAGAAUUGAUUUUUUAGUUAAUUAUAUGCUGUUUCCAUUCCUCAUAUAGUCUGACAUUGAGCUGUUUGUCUGUUGUGGAUGUAUUACUUAUUUCUUCUGUAUGUAACUAAUAUUUCAUGACAUUCUCUGGUUCCUCUUGUCAUCUCUUUAAAUAGAGAUAUCAAAGGAAAAGUAGUGCUUUUACAUUAUUUCCAUAGAUAUGCCUUACAUGAAACUGAAUAAAAAGUAACAAAC
ensembl:lncRNA